ensembl:lncRNA
AUGGUUUGUCGAGAUCGGUGUGGAAGAACUUGACUGGCCUGCACAGAGCCUCAACUGCUCUUGUGGCUGAAUGGAAGCAAGUCCCCGCAGCAACGUUCCAACAUGUAGUCGAAAUCCUUCCCAGAUACGUGGAGGCUGUUGUAGCAGCAAAGGGGGAACUCCAUGUUAAUGCCCAUUAUUUUGGAAUGAGAUGUUCAUAAAAACAGGUGUCCACAUACUUAUGGUCAUGUAGUGUUUCUGUUCUCUCUCCCAUCUCCAUCUCUGUCAUCAACACUCUAAAGAGCAGAUAUAUACCAUUGACCCUGAUUCACCAAUGGAGAGCAGUCAUAACAGGUCUAGUGGUCUAAGCCAUUGCCUCCAGAUCACAUAUAACGCAACAGCAUGGAGGGUCUCAGUCUAGAAACUAAGCAGCUCCUCUCCUCCACCUCCAAGAAGAAAGGAAAGGGUGGGGCUAAGGGGGAACUAGCCAAAGAGGAAGAUGCCAAGAUGGACACUCAGCCAAUCAACAUCAGCCUCCGAUUCAAGAGAUACGUUUUUGACCCCCACAAGAAGAUGGUUCAGUCUUGAGGUGCGUUCAGUUCACUUGAACGUUUGCUACAUUGUGGAGCGGUUUGUACUGAACAACACGUUUCCCCAAAACGUUCUUGUAUGUUCUUGAACAGACUUUGUGCUACGUUUGGUGGGUAUGGCGAGGUGUGGCUUGAAGCAAGGAGUGACGAAUUGAAAGGGCAGCGGUCAUGCAGACAGCGUUCCCAAACCCACAACCCCUCCCCAUUUUUAAACUGGUUGUUCAGUACAGCACCGUUUCCGUUCAAGUGAACGUUCCAGAAUGUAAAAACCAACAGACCGCAGCCCUGACCUUGGCAGCAGUAGCUAGAGGAUGAGAACAGAGCGGUUAAAACAAGUGGCUACACUGUUCUCCUCUUCGAGUUGAAAGUAACGAUUACUAUAUUUUCAAUACAUUUUUCCAUGAUAGGUGAAUAAAUGCUUGCACAAAAUAAAAGGUGUGUCAGCCAUGUUACAGUAAUGAUGGAAAGAUGAGUGGUUCAGAGACGGUGUAAAGGCUGGCCUCUGUAUCUGGAGCACAUAGUGCCUUCAGAAAGUAUUCAUACCUUUUGACUUAUUCCACAUGUUGUUGUGUUACAGCCUGAUUUCAAAAUAAUGACAAAGUGAAAAUGUUUUUAGAAAUGUUUGCAAAUGUAUUGAAAAUGACAUACAGAAAUAUCUCAUUUACAUAAGUAUUCACACCCCUCAGUCAAUACUUUGUAGAAGCACCUUUGGCAGUGAUUAUAGCUGUGAGUCUUUCUGGGUAAGUCUCUAUGAGCUUUCCACACCUGGAUUGUGCAACAUUUGCCCAUUUAUACAUUUCAAAAUUCUUUGCUAGACAGUCAUUUUCAGGUGUUGCCGUAACUGUUUUAAAGUCACCAUUGGCCUCAUGGUGAAAUCCCUGAGCGGUUUCCUUCCUCUCCGACAACGGAGUUAGGGAGGACGCCUUUAUCUUUGUAGUGACUGGGUGUAUUGAUACACUGUCCAAAUGUAAUUAAUAAACCAGAAAGCCAUUGCAAUGCUAGUUAUAGCCUAAUGUUAGCUAGCUAACUAACAUUGAAUCUAGUUGGUUAGCUUUAGCUACCUGCAGAUUCAUACUCCAGCAUUUCAUGCAUGGUGGCUAGCUAUGACAAUCCAUUUUGCACUGUAGCUAUGGGUUGGGAUUAUGGUUAAUUGUUUAGCUAGCUAGCUAACAUAACUUUAUUUCUGCUAGCUAGCUACAUGUCUAAACAAAAUACUCCACUUCGCAAGAGAAUGAUUACGUGACCCAUCAAUUUAGCCUGGUGUGUCUGGGGGUGAUUACGGCCAUCUAUUGUAUUUCAUGUACAUGUCUAGUGACCCAUCCACUUAGAUAGAUGUGUCUGGGGGUGAUUACGGCCAUCUAUUGUAUUUCAUGUACAUGUCUAGUGACCCAUCCACUUAGAUAGAUGUGGCUGGGGGGUGGUUAUAGCAUUUAUUUAACAUGGCCCAUCAAUUUAGGGUCUGGGUAAGCAUCAUCUAAUAAUUCUGAAAUAUUUAUACAAUAUUUUUAGCUGGACACUUUCAAAGUAAGAUUAGGAUAUAGGCCACGGACGAGACAACGUGUAUUGUUACCUGGAGAUUUUCAUUAAUGUAGGCUACUACUUAAACCACGUUUAGUCUUGAAAUCUUUGGUUGUUUCAGUCUCUCAGUCAAGUUACCUGGUAAAAUAGAUAAAAAAAUAAUAAUAAUAAAUAACCCAAUCCUGAUCUGUACUUCUCCACAACUUUGUCCCUGACCUGUUUGGAGAGCUCCUUGGUCUUCAUUGUGCCGCUUGCUUGGUGGUGCCCCUUGCUUAAUGGUGUUACAGACUCUGGGGCCUUCAGAACAAGUGUAUAUAUACUGAGAUCAUGUGACGGAUUAUGUGACACUUAGAUUGCACACAGGUGGACUUUGUUUAACUAAUUAUGUGACUUCUGAAGGUAAUUGGUUGCACCAGAUCUUAUUUAGGGGCUUCAUAGCAAAGGAGGUGAAUACAUAUGCACCCACCACUUUUCUGUUUUUAAGUUUUGUACAUUUUUUGAAACAAGUAAUUUUUUCCAUUUCACUUCACCAAUUUGGACUAUUUUGUCUAUGUCCAUUACAUGAAAUCCAAAUAAAAAUCCAUUUAAAUUACAGGUUGUAAUGCAAUAAAAUAGAAGAACCGCCAAGGGGGACGAAUACUUUUGCAAGGCACUGUACUGAAUGAUGUGUGAAAUUUGUUUUGAUUUUAAAAUGGACCAUUGUCAUUAACCUGUCUCGAAACAGGGGCAGCAGAAAAAAAGACAUGUCAUCUUUGCACUUAAAUAGCAAAUGGAGGACGCUUUUCCUGUGGUUCAUUUUCUUUUUUUGAAUUUGACCCCUUUUUCUCCCCAAUUUCG